UGGUCAAGUUAUUAAGGGUGCAGGGCGGAUGCCUUGGCACUAGGAGCCGAUGAAGGACGUGAUAAGCUGCGAUAAGCUUCGGGGAGUUGCACGUAAACUUUGAUCCGAAGAUUUCCGAAUGAGGAAACUCACUUAGAGUAAUGUCUAAGUAUCAUUAAGUGAAUACAUAGCUUAAUGAGGGGAACUCAGGGAACUGAAACAUCUAAGUACCUGAAGGAAGAGAAAGAAAUUCGAUUCCGUAAGUAGCGGCGAGCGAACGCGGAUUAGCCCAAACCAAUAAAGUUUUCUUUAUUGGGGUUGCGGACAUAUCAUAACGAAGAGGUAUCGUAAUUGAAGAGGUUUGGAAAGACCCACCACAGAAGGUAAUAGUCCUGUAUGUUAAACGAGAAGACUUUAGAUAUGAUCCAGAGUACCACGGGACACGUGAAACCCUGUGGGAAGCAGGAGGGACCACCCUCCAAGGCUAAAUACUACCUAGUGACCGAUAGCGUAUAGUACCGUGAGGGAAAGGUGAAAAGAACCCCGGGAGGGGAGUGAAAUAGAACCUGAAACCCUGCACUUACAAGCUGUGGAAGCACAUUUCUUGUGUGACCGCGUACUUUUUGUAGAACGGGCCAACGAGUUACGUUAAGUAGCAAGGUUAAGCACUUAAGGUGCGGAGCCGUAGCGAAAGCGAGUUUUAACUGAGCGUUCAGUUACUUGACGUAGACCCGAAACCGGGCGACCUACCCAUGAGCAGGAUGAAGCGAAAGUAAAAUUUCGUGGAGGUCCGAACCCACGAGCGUUGAAAAGCUCGGGGAUGACUUGUGGGUAGCGGUGAAAUUCCAAUCGAGCCCGGAGAUAGCUGGUUCUCCCCGAAAUAGCUUUAGGGCUAGCCUCAAGGUGAGAGAUACGGAGGUAGAGCACUGAAUGUCCUAGGGGGUAUUGCACCUACCGAAGACUAUCAAACUCCGAAUGCCGUCAUCUUAUACUUGGGAGUCAGACUGUGGGUGAUAAGAUUCAUAGUCGAAAGGGCAACAGCCCAGAUCGUCAGCUAAGGUCCCUAAAUGUAAGUUAAGUGGUAAAGGAUGUGGGAUUGCACAGACAACCAGGAUGUUGGCUUAGAAGCAGCCACUCAUUCAAAGAGUGCGUAAUAGCUCACUGGUCGAGUGAUCCUGCGCCGAAGAUUUCCGGGGCUAAAACUUACUACCGAAGCUACGGCAUCAGUAAUGAUGGGUAGGGGAGCUUCCCAUACGGGUUGAAGCAUGACCGUAAGGACAUGUGGACAGUAUGGGAGUGAGAAUGUUGGCAUGAGUAGCGAGAUGUGGGUGAGAAUCCCACAGGCCGUAAACCCAAGGUUUCCAGGGGAAGGUUCGUCCGCCCUGGGUUAGUCGGGACCUAAGCUGAGGCCGAAAGGCGUAGGUGAUGGACAACAGGUUGAUAUUCCUGUACUACCGAUAACCGUUUGAGAGAAGGGAUGACACAGUAGGAUAAGCUAAGCACACUGUUGGUUAUGUGUGCCCAAGCAUUGAGGCAGUCAAAGUAGGCAAAUCCGCUUUGAUAAUGCUGGGAUGUGAUGGGGAGCGAAAUUUAGUAGCGAAGUAGCUGAUUUCACACUGUCAAGAAAAGUCUCUAUCGAGGUUAAAGGUACCCGUACCGCAAACCGACACAGGUGGGUGAGGAGAGUAUCCUAAGGCCAGCGAGAGAACUGUUGUUAAGGAACUCGGCAAAAUGACCCCGUAACUUAGGGAUAAGGGGUGCCACCAUCAGGUGGCCGCAGAGAAUAGGCCCAAGCGACUGUUUACCAAAAACAUAGGUUUCUGCUAAGUCGCAAGACGAUGUAUAGGAGCUGACGCCUGCCCGGUGCUGGAAGGUUAAGGGGAUCUGUUAGAGCAAUCGAAGCAGUGAACUUAAGCCCCAGUAAACGGCGGCCGUAACUAUAACGGUCCUAAGGUAGCGAAAUUCCUUGUCGGGUAAGUUCCGACCCGCACGAAAGGCGUAACGAUUUGGGCACUGUCUCAACAACAGACUCGGUGAAAUUGUAAUUCCGGUGAAGAUGCCGGAUACCUGCGACAGGACGGAAAGACCCCAUGGAGCUUUACUGUAGCUUGACAUUGGGUCUUGGUACUACAUGUACAGGAUAGGUGGGAGGCUUUGAAACCAGGACGCCAGUUUUGGCGGAGCCAUCCUUGGGAUACCACCCUUGUAGUACUGGGACUCUAACCAUAGGCCAUGAAUCUGGUCUUGGGACACUGUCAGGUGGGCAGUUUGACUGGGGCGGUCGCCUCCCAAAAGGUAACGGAGGCGCUCAAAGGUUCUCUCAGUACGGUCGGAAAUCGUACGUAGAGUGUAAAGGCAAAAGAGAGCUUGAUUGCAAGACAUACAGGUCGAGCAAGGAUGAAAAUCGGACUUAGUGAUCCGGUGGUUCUGCGUGGAAGGGCCAUCGCUCAACGGAUAAAAGCUACCCUGGGGAUAACAGGCUUAUCUCCCCCAAGAGUCCACAUCGACGGGGAGGUUUGGCACCUCGAUGUCGGCUCAUCACAUCCUGGGGCUGUAGUAGGUCCCAAGGGUUGGGCUGUUCGCCCAUUAAAGUGGUACGCGAGCUGGGUUCAGAACGUCGUGAGACAGUUCGGUCCCUAUCCGUCGCAGGCGUAGGAAAUUUGAGAAGACCUGUCCUUAGUACGAGAGGACCGGGAUGGACGUACCUCUGGUGUACCAGUUGUCCUGCCAAGGGCAUGGCUGGGUAGCUAUGUACGGAAUGGAUAAGCGCUGAAAGCAUCUAAGCGCGAAGCCAACUUCAAGAUAAGAUUUCCCACCGCAAGGGUAAGACCCCAGAAAGACUAUCUGGUUGAUAGGUCGAAGGUGUAAGUG
rnacentral:rRNA from 1 species